rnacentral:rRNA from 1 species
UGGGGAAUUUUGGACAAUGGGCGAAAGCCUGAUCCAGCAAUGCCGCGUGUGUGAAGAAGGCCUUCGGGUUGUAAAGCACUUUUGUCCGGAAAGAAAUCCUUGGCUCUAAUACAGUCGGGGGAUGACGGUACCGGAAGAAUAAGCACCGGCUAACUACGUGCCAGCAGCCGCGGUAAUACGUAGGGUGCAAGCGUUAAUCGGAAUUACUGGGCGUAAAGCGUGCGCAGGCGGUUUGCUAAGACCGAUGUGAAAUCCCCGGGCUCAACCUGGGAACUGCAUUGGUGACUGGCAGGCUAGAGUAUGGCAGAGGGGGGUAGAAUUCCACGUGUAGCAGUGAAAUGCGUAGAGAUGUGGAGGAAUACCGAUGGCGAAGGCAGCCCCCUGGGCCAAAUACUGACGCUCAUGCACGAAAGCGUGGGGAGCAAAACAGGAUUAGAUACCCUGGUAGUCCACGCCCUAAACGAUGUCAACUAGUUGUUGGGGAUUCAUUUCCUUAGUAACGUAGCUAACGCGUGAAGUUGACCGCCUGGGGAGUACGGUCGCAAGAUUAAAACUCAAAUGAAUUGACGGGGUCAUAGCUG